UACGUAGGGUGCAAGCGUUGUCCGGAUUUAUUGGGCGUAAAGAGCUCGUAGGCGGUUUGUCGCGUCGGAUGUGAAAACCCAAUGGCUUAACCUUGGGCCUGCAUUCGAUACGGGCAAACUAGAGUGUGGUAGGGGAGACUGGAACUCCUGGUGUAGCGGUGGAAUGCGCAGAUAUCAGGAAAAACACCGAUGGCGAAGGCAGGUCUCUGGGCCAUAACUGACGCUGAGGAGCGAAAGCGUGGGGAGCGAACAGGAUUAGAUACCCUGGUAGUCCACGCCGUAAACGGUGGGCGCUAGGUGUGGGGAUCAUUUCCACGAUUUCCGUGCCGUAGCUAACGCAUUAAGCGCCCCGCCUGGGGAGUACGGCCGCAAGGCUAAA
rnacentral:rRNA from 1 species